rnacentral:rRNA from 1 species
GUGAAGCUGGAAUCGCUAGUAAUCGCGGAUCAGAAUGCCGCGGUGAAUACGUUCCCGGGUCUUGUACACACCGCCCGUCACACCAUGGGAGCCGGAAACGCCCGAAGCCAGCGGCCCAACCGCGAGGAGGGAGCUGUCGAAGGCGGGUCCGGUGACCGGGGUGAAGUCGUAACAAGGUAUC